rnacentral:rRNA from 1 species
GACGAACGCUGGCGGCGUGCUUAACACAUGCAAGUCGAACGGUAAGGCCCUUCGGGGUACACGAGUGGCGAACGGGUGAGUAACACGUGGGUGAUCUGCCCUGCACUUCGGGAUAAGCCUGGGAAACUGGGUCUAAUACCGGAUAGGACCACUGCCUGCAUGGGUGGUGGUGGAAAGCUUUUGCGGUGUGGGAUGGGCCCGCGGCCUAUCAGCUUGUUGGUGGGGGGAUGGCCUACCAAGGCGACGAGGGGUAGCCGGCCUGAGAGGGUGACCGGCCACACUGGGACUGGGAUACGGCCCAGACUCCUACGGGAGGCAGCAGUGGGGAAUAUUGCACAAUGGGCGCAAGCCUGAUGCAGCGACGCCGCGUGAGGGAUGACGGCCUUCGGGUUGUAAACCUCUUUCAGCACCGACGAAGCGCAAGUGACGGUAGGUGCAGAAGAAGGACCGGCCAACUACGUGCCAGCAGCCGCAGUAA